GCAAUGAAGACACACUUGGUUUUGAUCAACGAGAUGAAAUAAAUCUCACCAAUACCUCUAAGAAGUUCUGAGCUC